GAUGAACGCUGGCGGCGUGCCUAAUACAUGCAAGUCGAGCGAACGGACGAGAAGCUUGCUUCUCUGAUGUUAGCGGCGGACGGGUGAGUAACACGUGGAUAACCUACCUAUAAGACUGGGAUAACUUCGGGAAACCGGAGCUAAUACCGGAUAAUAUUUUGAACCGCAUGGUUCAAAAGUGAAAGACGGUCUUGCUGUCACUUAUAGAUGGAUCCGCGCUGCAUUAGCUAGUUGGUAAGGUAACGGCUUACCAAGGCAACGACGCAUAGCCGACCUGAGAGGGUGAUCGGCCACACUGGAACUGAGACACGGUCCAGACUCCUACGGGAGGCAGCAGUAGGGAAUCUUCCGCAAUGGGCGAAAGCCUGACGGAGCAACGCCGCGUGAGUGAUGAAGGUCUUCGGAUCGUAAAACUCUGUUAUUAGGGAAGAACAUAUGUGUAAGUAACUGUGCACAUCUUGACGGUACCUAAUCAGAAGGCCACGGCUAACUACGUG
rnacentral:rRNA from 1 species